GAUGAACGCUGGCGGCGUGCCUAAUACAUGCAAGUCGAGCGAACAGGCGAGGAGCUUACUCCUCUGACGUUAGCGGCGGCCGGGUGAGUAACACGUGGAUAACCUACCUAUAAGACUGGGAUAACUUCGGGAAACCGGAGCUAAUACCGGAUAACAUGUUGAACCGCAUGGUUCAACAGUGAAAGACGGUCUUGCUGUCACUUAUAGAUGGAUCCGCGUCGCAUUAGCUAGUUGGUAAGGUAACGGCUUACCAAGGCAACGAUGCGUAGCCGACCUGAGAGGGUGAUCGGCCACACUGGAACUGAGACACGGUCCAGACUCCUACGGGAGGCAGCAGUAGGGAAUCUUCCGCAAUGGGCGAAAGCCUGACGGAGCAACGCCGCGUGAGUGAAGAAGGUCUUCGGAUCGUAAAACUCUGUUAUUAGGGAAGAACAAAUGUGUAAGUAACUAUGCACGUCUUGACGGUACCUAAUCAGAAAGCCACGGCUAACUACGUG
rnacentral:rRNA from 1 species